rnacentral:rRNA from 1 species
UACGAAGGGGGCUAGCGUUGCUCGGAAUCACUGGGCGUAAAGCGCACGUAGGCGGCUUUUUAAGUCAGGGGUGAAAUCCUGGAGCUCAACUCCAGAACUGCCUUUGAUACUGAGAGGCUUGAGUCCGGGAGAGGUGAGUGGAACUGCGAGUGUAGAGGUGAAAUUCGUAGAUAUUCGCAAGAACACCAGUGGCGAAGGCGGCUCACUGGCCCGGUACUGACGCUGAGGCACGAAAGCGUGGGGAGCAAACAGG